AGAUCGUCAGUAAAACAUUAUACAAUUUACAAAAAUCUAUUUUUGUAUUAUUAAUAAUAAUAAUACAUCAUUAUAAUAAUGGAAUUCAUAUUAUUCAAGAUGAGCAUGAUUAUUUUAUUGUUCUAUAUUGUUGCAAUGGUUAAUACUAUGGUAGAAGGUAUAUAAUUGUUGUUGAAUUUUUAAUACAUUUUUUAAUUUCCCUAAUAUAAAUAUUCAAUUUAUUAUAUCCAUUGAAUGUGUAUUCGUGUAUUACAAUAAAUUAAUACAUUUUAUUCACGUGCUGUAAGUUGUAUAAUUUGCAGGAGCACCUAAAUCCCUUUGGUACUCACAAGAAGACCCAUUUAGCGGUGAGUUUUCAUUAAAUUAAAAACAUACAUUAUCUGAUUUGCAAUACCUGUUCAUAAUAACUAAUAUUAUAAUAACACGCCUACUUGAAGUAGUAUUAUUAUUGUCAUUUAUUUACUAACAAAAACAUUCGGAAAUUUAAAUGUACUUAUUUAAAUGGCCCACUGAGCAAGCUCGUGUGGGACCUAGGUAUACUUUUAAUUAUGGAAUCAAAUUUAUUAAAAUUUAAGUACAUAUCUACGCACGUAGUAUUUUAUUAAUAAAUAAUACUAAUUUAUACUGAUAAUUAACUUUAUGUAAUAAGGAUUAAGCUUAGGCUUAUGUUUGUAAUAUAUUUAUUGUCAGUGCAAUCUAAACCACUUUUUCCCCCAGAACUCUCAAUAGGUCAUCGAAAUUAAAAUGUCAUAUUUUUUCUUAACAGGUUCACCAAUAUAAUUCAUAUAUUAAUAUAAAUCAAAAAAGGUAAGAUAAAAAAGUACCUAAUUUUUAUUAAUUACUAUUGAAUUAUUUAAUUUUAUAAAUAUUGCAGGUAACUAUAUAACAUAUAUAGUAUUAAAAUGUUUAAAUAAUAAAUAGUCCAAACUGAGAUGGUUUAGGCAUGACAUGAAUAGAGGAAUUGGAAACAAUAGAAAUAUUAAUCAAAAUAAAUGUAGGGGGGGAAAGAGUGGAAAAGGAAGACCAAAAAAGAGAUGGUACGAUGUAAAUUGUAUAAGGAUGACAGCUGUAUGUAAGGAUUACGUGACUUUAAAAUUUUUAAUCCAUCGAGGCAAUGUGAAGUAACUGAUUAUAUUUAUAGUUAUAUUUUCAGGCAUUUUAAGGCCAAAAGUAAUGUAACCCAAAACCACCCCCACCCCUAAAAAAAUACAUUUAAUACAACGUGGGAAAAAUAAAUUGAGCAAGUUUUUUUUUUUUAAAUAUUAAAUAAGUAUCUUUAGAAUAAAAUGUACUAAUAAAAUCUAAUACAUUUAUAUAGGAAUUAUGGAUCCUCAACAAAGUUUCCAAUUCAGUGCACAAGUUAAAGAAAUUAAAGAAGAAUUUAAAUUUAAAAAUUAUACUCACCGCAGUAUUUACUUGUUAUUAAUAUUAAUUUAACAUCUAAUUAGGGGUAUAUAUUUAUGGUUUGUCUAAAUGUUUGAAUAUUUGUUAUGAUUUUUUAUUUAUUUUUGUAUUGUAAUACCCACGUAAAAUACCAAUAAUACCAAAUAACAAAUAUAAUUAAAAUGUUCAAUUCUUACCUAUAAAAAGAAUAUUGGUAAUGGACCAAUUAAAUCCGAAUUUUAAAGUACCUAUAUCGGUUUAAUAUUUUACACAUUAAGUAAACGAAUAUUUAAAAAAAAUAAUAAUAAUAAUAAUAUUAAUCUUUAAUCGUAGUUGAAUAAAAUUAUUAACAAUAAUUAAAAAUUAUUGAAUAAAAAAAAAAAAUAAUAUUUAAUAUUAUAAUAUAAAAAUUUGGAAAUUUCACAACUUUAUUUUUUUAUAAUUCCCUCCAUUUUUUACUGUAUACUGACAUCUAAACAUUGUCCGAAUGCCUUCAUAUCUUAAUUUCCCUUGUAUUCUAUCAGGUAUACCGGCUGUAUCUGCUUCCAAGAAUACUAACAUUUAGACAUUCCCCGAAUCCUGUAUUACCACUCCAAUAUCUCGACGUCUAGACAUCAACCAAAUCUCUCUGUAUUAGCACUCCUAUAUCUUAAUUUCCCCUAUAUCCUAUAUAGUUAUACAGCACCCAGUACUUCGUAAGGCGGAUUUCCCACCCACCGAGUGUAACCGCUACUUCCGCAAUAUCCUGUCCACAGGGGCACAGCUCCUUCAGACGAACGCACAUAAUACUGUAUCCCGCUUGUAGUUAUAUAAAAUCAAUAUUUAUAAUUCAAAAUUAUUGAAUAAAA
rnacentral:lncRNA from 1 species